UCAGACAACAAUAAACUCGGCAGCUUGGUCAGAUUGGGAAUAAUGCCUGGUUUUAAGUCUCCUCAUUGCAAAUCAUCUUCUUCCAAUACCCUGCUGUUUGUUAGAAGCAGCUGUUCAC